GAUAGGAAGAGGAAGAAGCACAGAGUUGAUGGCUUGAUGAAGAUAACAGAGGAAUUAGAUUUGUUGUCGAUUGACAGCUCGAGAGUGUGUGAGUCGGACUCUCCAACGCAAUAGAAUUGCGCGAGACGAGUUUGGCUUGGUGACUAGCCGGAGCUGGGCUGACGGCGCGGUUUUUGUUGAUAGGGGACGCCACCUGCCCGGACGGGAAGUUCGUCGCUUCAAGCAGUUUCCGAGGAAGACCGAGGCCGUCGCUGCGAGCUGGUUGCUGUUGUGACAAAGGAGCGAUUCAUUCAUUUAACGCGGCCUGGUUCAUCAAGUUUCACCGACACACGGAGGUUGUGGGUUCUUGGCCUGAAAUCCUUAAACACCACUGACCUAGAGGAGGAAAACUCUGCUAAUUUGAAUGUCUUCCUGUCGUACCACCCAGGGUUGUGUUCUUGCCAAGGUUUACCUUAAAGACACUUUCUUCUUUGGAGUAUGCUGUGUAAAUAAAAUAGUACACUGGAAUUGGACAGAGCCAUCUAAAAAGAAGCUGAACAUCCAGAAUUAGGACAACUGCAACAACCUCCAUCGCACGUCUGAUGUUGAAAGCUUCCAUCUUGGGUUCCACUGUGCGUCAUCCAUCAGCUGAGCAGAAAAAGGUAUCAGCUAACGCCUGACAUGGUGUUUGGGAGCGCGGCAGCGGGAAAGAGGAGAGGUCACGUCUGAAUGUGACCCGCAGCAGUGGCUGAGAUAGACCAGGUCUGCUGUUGUGUAGUCCAGGAGGGGAGUGGUGACUCUCUUUAAAACCUCUGGUGAUUUCUGCAUGGAGAGGAGAAGUUUGGAAUUUUCAAAGUAGUGAUGAAAUCCACCUCGUAUAUCCCUUCAAUAAUUACGGCCCCUCUGCAGACAUUAUAAGCUGCCCAUCUGGCAUCGAUUAACCUCCCAAAAAAAUCAAUCUUACUUCCGCAAAAUGACAACUGUAGAUGGAUUUCUACUGAGAAAUAAUUCUUUAAAGUAUCUAGAAAUAAUGAUGAUAAGAUCAUUUGUUAUUCAAAAAUAUUGUAAUUUACAAAAAUGAUUAAAUAAUAAUAAUAAUUAUUUUUAAUAAUAACAUUAAAACCAGAAGGAGCUGCGUGGGCUGCGGCCUGUGAUCAGAGUCAAACAGCUUUCUAUCACAGCAGCUUUUCUAGACUGACCUGUGCUGCGUCUUCCUCCAGUCAGAACAGUCCUGGUACAUUUGGUCUGAGAUGAAUCAGACUAUUAUUAAUUAUCCUGCUCACAGGCUGUUGGCGCCAUAAAUAACCAUCCACUGACAGACGUUUUAACCGGAAAGAAUGCAGAGUUUGGGAAUGUAGACUUUUAUACAAUUCAGGCUGUAAAUAAAUCAGUAAAGUGAAUUGUUUUAUCUUUUCUGGGUGUAGUUGGAGUUGAAUGUCAGGACAUUAACAAAGCCUUCUACUAAAUAGUAACUUUUUAGGGGUUGUUUUACAUGUGCGGCAUUUUUUUUACCUGAAUGAAAAUGUCAGCAAAAGGGAAACUAUAUUUACAUCAACCUCAACAUUUUCCAUUACUCAUUUCAAAUAUUUUUCAAUCGCACUUUCCACUGAUUCAAAAAUGUCCAUUUAAAUUUCAAUCUGAAGGGCUGCAUUGAAAGAGGGUCAUCAAGAGUACACUGGAAUACAGCUCUCUGUAAAUAGAGUUAUAAAUAUCCAACCACACCAUUUACUGGUUAUUAUACAUAAAUGAAUGCCUCGCUUGUUUAGAGUUUUUCAACACAAAUUUGCGGCAGCCGGUGUGAUUAUGCAGAAACCUGUAAUUUUUAAGUUAUGCAUCAAAAUAUACCAAAUAAACGCACCCGUAAAAUUAGAACACCAACAAAGUCUCAGUGAUGCCGUUCCAAACCACCCCUGGGCCAACUCUGGUUUUGUUUUUCCCACCCUUCACAGCAAACCUAAGGUGAGUGUGACAUCAAAGGGUCACAGUGCCCAAGGGCAUCCAGGGGCCCGAGAAUCUCUGAGCUCUGGCCUCGUUUCACCGGGACAAAUUAGGGCCCGUCUCUUAUCUACCUGAGCUUUCUCUAAGCAGACUCCAACAAGGACUUUAGGAUCAUUAUCCCUAUGAAGUAGAAGAAGAACACAGUCAAAGUAUUUAGGUGCCUGAAAGAAGCACCUUAUUUGUUUUUUUUCUACAAUGCUGCAGUUUUUGGAGCGCACUUUUUUUUAUAGUCUAACUGUAAGAACAGCUUCUAUUUAAAAAACUGUGGCUGUGUUUAGAAUGUAGCUCUUACAGGGGUGAGUUUAAGGAAAACAUGAAUAUGUGGUCAAACAUUUACCUCAUUCUUAUACUUGUUGUUUGCAAAUAGAACCUGUCUGUUACAAAGGCAUGUUUGUUCACAGUCUGUAUUUUUUGCUAAUGUGCAAAAUGUGACUUAUUACAAUUAAUAUUGAACCCCAAUCAAGGUGUGUUUGUUUUACUGCUGCUGCUGCCUGAAGGUCAGUUGGAGAAUAUGACAAAAUAACAUAUAUAAAAUGAUUGCAGUUUCUUCAGGGGACUUUCUUAAUAACUACUGCUGGUUGUUAGGUGGGACAAGAGCAGCAGUGUGAGAGAGCAGCACCAUGUUCAACUGUUUCCACAGAUCCAGGUUGAAGAAGUUGUUGAUUGUUAUCAGAUUAAGGAAAGCUGGAAUCUGGCCUCUUACCGAGUUUCCCCACAGUUAUCUCAGCAACCAAUCAGGACAGAAGUCCUGCCUUAGUUAAACCAAAGCUUUAAAGAUGUUACUUUGAUGCAGGUUUAAACAAUUUGAAUUGUCUGAUCAAAGCAGUAACUUA